rnacentral:pre_miRNA from 1 species
CAGCGCGUCGGCACCUUGGCUCUAGACUGCUUACUGCUGAGCACGGCGACCGGAACAGUAACAGUCUACAGUCAUGGCUACUGAAGCAUGACA